rnacentral:misc_RNA from 1 species
UACGGGGGGAGCGAGCGUUGCCCGGAUUUAUUGGGCGUAAAGCGCGCGCAGGCGGUCCUUUAAGUCUGAUGUGAAAUCUUGCGGCUCAACCGCAAGCGGUCAUUGGAAACUGGGGGGCUUGAGUACAGAAGAGGAGAGCGGAAUUCCACGUGUAGCGGUGAAAUGCGUAGAUAUGUGGAGGAACACCAGUGGCGAAGGCGGCUCUCUGGUCUGUAACUGACGCUGAGGCGCGAAAGCGUGGGGAGCAAACAGG